rnacentral:rRNA from 1 species
UGGGGAAUAUUGGGCAAUGGGCGCAAGCCUGACCCAGCCAUGCCGCGUGAGUGAUGACGGCCUUAGGGUUGUAAAGCUCUUUCAGUAGUGACGAUGAUGACAGUAGCUACAGAAGAAGCCCCGGCUAACUUCGUGCCAGCAGCCGCGGUAAUACGAAGGGGGCUAGCGUUGUUCGGAUUUACUGGGCGUAAAGGGCACGCAGGCGGCCUAACAAGUUGGGGGUGAAAUCCCGGGGCUUAACCCCGGAACUGCCUUCAAAACUGUUAGGCUAGAGAUCGAGAGAGGUGAGUGGAAUUCCUAGUGUAGAGGUGAAAUUCGUAGAUAUUAGGAGGAACACCAGUGGCGAAGGCGGCUCACUGGCUCGAAUCUGACGCUCAGGUGCGAAAGCGUGGGGAGCAAACAGG